GCAAGGAACAGAGGGAGAGCUUGUUCCAGCAGACGGGCCCCAUCCGCUCCUCCCGUCCGAGGGCUGGGAAGAAGGGAUGGAGGCGAAGGGAACUCUCCCACCCCUCCGGGGCCCCGCGGGCGCGCUGCUUCCCAGAAAAUACGGUAAAAAGCCUUCAGCCUAAAAAUAACUGCAGCCCGUGGCUGCCCAAGGCUGAGGAACCAGCCCCUCGGGGCUCACUUAGAGAUGUCAACGUGUGGCCAUUGGCCGGUCUCUCUGAUGGGCAGAAGUCAUCUGGCGAGGUGCUGAUCCUCCUAUAGUGUUUGCAAGAUCUUUAAGAAGAAUUGCAUGGCCGAUGUCGUUGCGUUUGAGUUGUGCUAGAAUACCCUGACCAUCAGAGGACUUGGAUUUUAUGACAGAAGAGAUCAGCACUGCAAAGACAUGGCGAUGUUGUUCACAUUGCCUGGACCUGAGCCCAGGGUCCGGGACCAGACCUGUCUCAUACCCACACCUUAGAAGACAGCGCCGUGUUCGUGUUUUCUUUUUGCAGGCUGAAAGCUUUCCUGGACCUGCUGAACACUUCUGCUGUAAUCUGUCGUGGCUGUCAGGGUGCCAAGAGACAUGCCAGACCCUGGGCCACAAUAGUGGAACAGACAUGCCCAGAGCUGAAAGCUGGCACAAGGUAGUGUAUAAAGUGAGAUAUGUGAAGCCACGGGCAAAUAGUUUGGUAAUCACGUGGGUCAGUUAGGCUUGGCACAGGGCAGAGCCUGUCUGCUCAUCAAGGAAGGCAGAGACAAAACUUCGUCAUAGAAUCAUAGAAUAUUUGAAUUAUUGAAUCAUUGAAUGGCUUGGGUUAGAAGGGACCUUACAGCCCACCCAGCUCCAACCCCAGUGCCAUGGGCACAGUUGCCACUCACUGCAUCAGGUUGCCCAGUGCCCCACACAACCUGGUCUUGAGAAGAGUUGGGGGACUUCUUAAUGAGAGCUACGAGGAUUAAACAAAAACAAUUACUCCAGAAGGACUGAGGUAAAGGACACAGUGUUGUCUCAGUGGGGUCGCAAACACAUUUCAAAACAGAUUUUUGCAGAAAGAGAUGUUUCCCAUUCCCCAGAUAUCUUGUUCCCAACAACGAUUCUCGUUUCACAGUAAGGUUCAGGGUUGGAGGAAGGAGCAUGAGCCUUGCUCAGCAUUGGUGCAGGGGAUGCUCCACGUGUCUCCUCACCUAGAAAGCUAAACCUCAAAGAAUAGAAGAGCACAAUUCACUCCUCGCAGAUGGGGAAAUGGUGCAGUGAGUCAGCAAGGCAGACCACAGAUGCUGUCCAAAAGCAUUGCAGCAAUUAGUUGGAGCAAGGUGGAGAUAUAUUCCUCCAAAAUGAAAGUCUCUGUAGGCUGUUACCAGUGCUCACAGCCAUCUAGUCCCUUGCUGAACAUUUCUGACCAAAAUCCUUCCAAGCUGAUCUAUUUUCAGCCCAACCCACUCGAUACCUUGAUUGCUACGCAGCUCUUUUAGCUGCUCUUAGGUAAACAUGUUGUCAUUCCCUGGCAUUUUGCCUCGCUAAGACCAAAAAUAUGAGUGGCACAGAAAAUAAGAAAAGCUGUUCUCCUCCGCCAGGAAAAAUGAUGCUAUUUCUGAAAUAAACUGUUUUUAAUACACCUCACCAGCCAUGUGCAUAUACACACAUGUAUAAAUAUACUUGACCCGGAGGUCCAGUUCCAGUGUUGGCAUCUUGUAUGCCUAUAUGGAGACAGAACAGAGAGGGAAUUAUGUAUGUACAAACCAGGACACACCUUCGGUCCAGUCUACAUCUGAAUGCAGAACGUUGGUUAAGACAAAAUACUGAGGUCUGAUCCCCAUUAAAACAGGUUCACAGGGACUGGUCCAAACUGAGACCAGAGAGUUAUGGGCUGUCAUGAGGAGCAGCUUCUACCAUAGCGACCCAUGUGCCCCAUACCUAAAACCAGCAUCCCCAGGGUUGAACCAGAGCAGGCUGGAGCAGAUCAGUGUCAGAGCUCUAUCCACAGCAGGCCUUGUUUUUGAGGAAUGACAGUGAUGUUGGCCAGACCUCCAAGCCUCUUUUUUUUUCAGAUUUCUCUUUAUCGAGUAAACACAUAGAAGUCAACAACAGAUGGAGCAUCACAUGGAGUUACGCAGGUCAGCAAAGGCUUCGGAGACCCCGUGAGUUUGAGGAGGCAAUAAAUUGGCAGGAGAUGUGGAUGGGAAAUUAUUCUGAGGGACGGAGGAAAAAAAUAGUGGGUUGAUCUGUCGCCCCUGUGACAUGCUCAGGUUUUGUGGAGGAAGACAAAGGUGGGCAGAUAACAAAAGCUCCUGGGUAGGAAGGCUUUUGGGUUCCUCUUUGGCUGCAAAUUGUGAAAUUCAAGCAGAAAGGUAACAAACUGGUAACAAAACGGGCAGGAGUAAAGCAAAGCGAGUGCAAAACAAAAGCAGAUUUUGUGUGACAGGAGCAGAUUGAACUGAUGUGACAAAGGAGGAGGAGAGCUUUUUCAGUAGCUUGUAUAGUGCUGCGGGGAGCUGGGAGUGACAAAUGAGGAAUUUGCACAAGUGGAGAGCAACAGCGUAGGGCUGUGUGUUGAGGAAGAAAGAAAGGAGAAAAGGGAGCAAAGGACACCUAUUAAUAAAAAGAAACCUACAUUCCAUUUAAGAUUUAUUGCUAGCUCAGAGCCAGAGAAUCUUUCAUGCCUUCGCAUCUCUGAGCUAACAUUACCCAAGAGUGGGUAGUGGUGGGGAUCCACUAUGAGCCAUUGAAUUCAAGUGGAAAAGAGCUCCGGUCUUUAAUAUGCAGAAAUUAAAACACUUUGGCUGACAGAGCUUUCAAUCUGAGAAACCUGCACUGUAGUAGCAGAAUAGCAUUAGUGCUCCUGAAUACACAGCUGGUAAUUUCCGAGCACGAAAUAUCAUGCAUUGAAAAUGAAAUUGCUCCAUUUAGGAGAUCGGUGUGGUGGGGAUGGAUGAAUUCAGUGCUGGAUGAAAAAUUAAUGGUUGCCUUCAGACAGGUGUUGACUAGCUGGUGGUGUUCCAAGAAAGGACGGUCCCAUCUGGUCAUGGGGAGAGCUGUGAUGGUGCGAAAAGAAGAGAGUGAUCACCAUGGACAAAGAGCAUCCCACGAACUCAUGUCAGAGAAGAGUUUUUGUCUUGGAGGUGGAGGGCUCAGUCGGUGGGAGAAGUAGGGCUACUUCUACGUGGGGUGUGGAUGGAGAAGUUUGAGGUAAAAUGAGGCUGGAUGGUUGGAGAAACACCAGCUAACAUUGGGUGUGGACUUGAUUACAGCAUAGAAUUGCCUCUGAGGGGAGGGGGUGAGGGGCUGCCUCACGUAGGGGAGAAAUAUAUGAUAGCAGUGGGUUGGAAAGCUGAGAUUUGGGCAAAUUUGAAUGAAAAAAAGAAGCACCUUUUAGCUGACAGAUGAUUAGGAUGCACUUGAAGGACAGCAGCGUGUCUUCCCCCACACCAAACCCUGUGUGCCACCUUGGCAGUCCACGGAGGCACCUUGAGCUGACCUAUCCGGUCCGUUCUGCUGGAGGAGGGGACAAGCAGGCCCCAGCUUCCAUCAGCUGCUCUGGGUUUGCAGUUAGGGUAGAUAAAUCCUUAUACUUACAAAGCAAGGCUGCCCGCGUGCCAAGUUGAGCACUGAAUCAGAAGAUGAGCUCCCUGGGGGGGUAAUCGGUAUCUUUCAUAAACUGCAAUUGGUCAGAGGAGAUGGGGAUUUUCCUGGCUCCAGCCCACGCACCCCUGCCCAUGCUGUGUGAGACGUGCAGGGCAAUUUACCUAUCGAUAGCUCACAGUGCUGGGCAAAUAUUUGUCUUAUCGUGGGUUUAGCAGUGAUAGCUAAAGGGCAGCGGCAAAACAAAGCCCAGGAAAGACCCAACUCUGAUCCAGUGCAGCUGGGAAAGCUGGAGGCUUUCCAGUCUGUGGGUGCUCAGCGUGUCCCUGCCCGGAAGGGGCUGCGGGGGGGAGCUGGGCUCAGCACUGCAGUGACAUUUGGAGAGAGCAGGAGGUCACAGAGCUGGAAGCAAACACAGGCAGUGACUGUCCUGCAGUGCACAGCCAGAGAGCUGCCUCUGCAGAGAGAAAACACAGGCAAGCACGCCUGAAACCUGUGCUUUGCUUCACUGCGCUUUCCUCCCAUAAAAAGUCUUUUAAAAAGUAUGAGUAAAUCUUUUUCCUAAAUCCUGUUCUCUUCCCUUCCCCUUCUCGUUCCCCUUCUCCCCCCUUCUCGUUCCCCUUCCCUUCCCUUCCCUUCCCUUCCCUUCCCUUCCCUUCCCUUCCCUUCCCUUCCCUUCCCUUCCCUUCCCUUCCCUUCCCUUCCCUUCCCUUCCCUUCCCUUCCCUUCCCUUCCCUUCCCUUCCCUUCCCUUCCCUUCCCUUCCCUUCCCUUCCCUUCCCUUCCCUUCCCUUCCCUUCCCUUCCCUUCCCUUCCCUUCCCUUCCCUUCCCUUCCCCUUCCCCUUCCCUAUGAAGAAACGGAAGGAGAACCCAUGGAGACAAUGUGAGACAUCCCCAGAAUGAAUCCAGAUGUGCUGCUCUGUCUGUAACCCAGUGCUGUAAGGAGGACUGAGAUCUGCUGCACUGCAAGCCUGGAUAAAGAUACCCACCAUGGAUCUUCUCCCUGGACUCCUGACCCCAACUGCUCACCUUCCUCCUUCUGCCCUGGGCUAACUUCUCCUCGACUUCUGCUUUGGUUGAAAAGAGGCUGGGGAAGAAAAGUUGUUGGCAGUUUGUGGGGGUCUCCUUUGGCUUUAGAUGGAGCAGAAGAAUGCACUAUCACUUCUGCUAUAGGCUGUGCUUAGCAGUGGAGCAAGGCAUUGCCCUAGCACCAGCAGCGCUCUGAAUUCAUCUCCACACUCCAUGUUUUCCUUCACUAAGUCUAAUGAGGGCUGCAGGCUGCUAGGGAGGCACGCAGCAAUAAAGACUGAAAACAGUACGCAGGACUUCCAGCUGCAAACUGUGUGUGACCCAGGACCUGACUUGACUUGGCUUGUGUGGGGAUCCUCUUCCCAAUAUCUGAUUCACCCUCAUACUGUAUGUAGCAUCAUGGUUUUUGUCAGCAUUCCAUAUCAUAGCAUCAUGUCAUACGUUCUCAGUACUGGGGCUGCUGGGGUUGUAAUUCCUGGUUUCCUUAUGGUGUGAUGUUAUGAUAUGGAAUAUCGAUGGACAGUACCCUGGACGUGCUCCAUAGGCAUAGGGGGACCCAGGGUGAAAGCCCACCCAAGGACCGCAGACAAGGGCACCCAUAAUAACUAGAGGGUAGCUGGAGAAGCAGCACCAUUGGGUGUAUCAGCUGUGUGUAACCUCCAGCAGCAUCAUACAAGAAAUGUUUGGCCUGACCCAAAGCCCACUGGAGAAAAUAAGGAGAAGCAUCACUUCCAGGAACAGCAUGGAUGUGGUGCAAUCAGGGAGAAAGGCAAGAAAAGCUGUGCAAGCAUUUGCCUAACGUUCUUCUGGGAGAUAAUAAUUGCCAAACAGCACUUGUUCCCUCCCUUUAUCCCACUCUGUCCUUCAGGGACAUCUGUUCCAAAGGGAAGAACCUGAUAAUUAUGGAUUGGGUCCUCCGAUGGAGGCUGGAUAUGGCCCCAAGGCAGCCAGCCUCCCUGUGCACAGUGCUCAUGCUGGGAAUGCAGCCUGUGAGUGGUUCAAUUAAAAGGUUUCUCAGCAAUGACACCAGCAGAGGCACAAGAAGCAGACAACCUAUUCACAGACCAAUUAGUUUUAUGAAUAAAUGUGUGCAGGACAGUGAGCCCAUCGGCUGAGCGAGCCAUGCCGGAGUGCUGAGCAGCACUGGGAAAUAUUCUAUUGGGAAGUUUUAAAUGCCAGUCUCCGUGCAUGGAUGGGGCUGCGUGGCUUUCCAUCAGCUCAAGCUUGCCCCUGCUGAUCCUUCAAUUCACGCUGUCUUCUCCCCAUAUAUGCCAUUCUCAUGGGCUUGGUGGGGGCAAACGCUUCGCAUGCAUGUUUUACCCAGCUCCAUCAUGUCAUCCUUCCCUUCGUGGCCAGAAUGGGCCAUGAACUCCCAUUUCUUCCCAUCAGACUGGGUUGCCUUGCAAAGGGCCCAGCCCCUCUCACCCUAUUUGAGGACCUGGGGGUUCACUGGGGCCAGCACCACUGGGCUCCAGCCUCCUGCAGCCCCAACAUAGGCCAGGUGGGUGUCAGAGCAGCUCCAAUCCCAGUAGGCGUUUAGUGUCAUUUAUACCAAGGCUAAUUACAUCUUAACAUUUUCCCUCUGUAUUUUGGUAUUUAUUUUGGAAAAGCUCCUCCCUGGAGUCACUUUCUUCCCCAGCUCUACAACAACAACAAUAACAGCAGUGCACUGCCUUUUCCCUUGGCUCCUUCCCUCAUUAUUAUAGCUCUGCCAUGCUGUUCCAGUACAGUCAGCAGAGGAAUUCAAUCAGGCUGAUGAGUAAAAGUGCAUAAUUUUAUGGCUGCAUAUCAACUGCUUGUUAUUAAACUAAUCAAUCAGCUUCAGUGCAGCUACCGGUAAAGCACGGGAGAGGGCAAAGUGAAAGAAUUGCUAUGCUGUUCUUUUUCCAAAAGGACAAAAAGACAAUUCCAAUCUGGCCAGUCGAAUUCUUCGGCUUGUACUUCUCUGCUGUAAGAAAUGCUUUGCCUGAGUUAUGGAUCGGUUGACCUGCAGCACAGUAAUGAUGGAGCUGGUGCUGCCCUUGUGCUCACCUCCAGCACUAAGCCCUAACAUGGCAACCUGCUGCAGGGAACCAGCUUUAGUAGGAGGUUGGCAUAGAUCAUCUCCAGAGGUCCCAUCCAACCUCUACAAUACUGUGAUUCUGUGAUUUGCCAUGCCCCAAAGCCCAGGAAAGUCACCAGGUACUCCCACCAUAUCUCAUCUUCUCAGGAAGAGUGGUAAUGCAUUGGAACAGGCUUUGGGGAAGUGGUGGAGUCAUCAUUCCUGAAGGUUUUCAAGGAACAUGGAGAUGUGGCACUGAGGGACAUAGUUAGUGGGCAUGAUGGGGAAGGGUUGGGAUUGGACUUGAUGAUUUUAGAGGCCUUCUCCAGCCUUCAUGAUUCUAUGAUUCUGAAGGUCUGUCCUCCAUGCCCACAAGAGCACAGCAAGUAAGGAAUUGCAUCACACAAAGAGAAACCUGGGCUACACAUCAGGUGUAACUUCCUACAGGAGAAGGGUGAGCAGCCAUUGGGACACACUGCCAGGAGGCACUGGAGGUCCUGGAACAAGCACUAUGUGCUUCUUCUAUAGCAACAUUGGGGUUGGUGUUGGUGAGGUUCUGCUUGUGGCUAGAGAUAGUUAUGAUGGAGUUGGAGGUCCCUCACAGCUCUAGGGGAGAGAGAGACUCAUCCUCUUUGCCAUCCAAGAGGAGGAGAAGGUGUAACAGGGCUUGGAACCUCAAAGCCAGACAGUGGGAUCUUUUGUGUUA
rnacentral:lncRNA from 1 species